GCGCUUAAACUAAAACAAGAAAUAAACCAAAGAAAGUUGAUUGAUAUAUGAAAUAAAAUGUUUGUUUUCUCUUAUUUUGAAUCAAAGGAAAUAAACCUUUCCCCCGAAUCAGUUGGUCUGUACCUAAAUAUUUGAUUUUUAGCAAAUUGAACUGUCCCAUUGAAGAAAGCCAAAUAUAUUGUUUUAUGUGGAUUUCUUUCAAUGGGAACUUAACAUUUCUCAUUAAUAUUUCAUUUGGAUGUUUGUGUCAUUCAGUUGCUGCUUUGUUAGCACAUAUCUUCUUCAAUAGGGCUCUUCACAGUUAGUUGGGCCAUAUUGGAUAGGGGGCAGAUUUUCAUAUAAGAGGUAAAAAUGGUGUCAAAAAUAUGGGAAAACAUCAUUAAAACAGAGCUUGGAAACAUGCAUAGGAUUUCCAAUAAUUUCAUACUAUUUCACCUCUUUCCAAAAAAUUUGCCCCCUAUCCAAUAUGGCUGAACUAACAGUGAAGAGCCCUAUUCAUUCCUUCCAAUAAAAUUUCAGUGGAAUACCAGAGAGAUCGUGAUUCAUGAACCACUACAGUGAUUUUCUGCUUAAUUCUUCACGUUCAAGCUCUAGAUCCACCCUUUCAUAUAUUACUCUCAAAUAAUAAUGAAUCCAAGGUCAGCUGAAUAAUGUCAAUGGUCAUGGAACAUUUUUAGAAAGAAAGAUGUGAAAUAAAGUAUAUCUAAUGAACAAAUAUGUUAUUAUUGAUGCAAUACAACAGUUAUUCUCAACAGAAAUUUUAUUUUUCGUUUUUGA
rnacentral:lncRNA from 1 species